GACGAACGCUGGCGGCGUGCUUAACACAUGCAAGUCGAACGGAAAGGCCCUGCUUUUGUGGGGUGCUCGAGUGGCGAACGGGUGAGUAACACGUGAGUAACCUGCCCUUGACUUUGGGAUAACUUCAGGAAACUGGGGCUAAUACCGGAUAGGAGCUCCUGCUGCAUGGUGGGGGUUGGAAAGUUUCGGCGGUUGGGGAUGGACUCGCGGCUUAUCAGCUUGUUGGUGGGGUAGUGGCUUACCAAGGCUUUGACGGGUAGCCGGCCUGAGAGGGUGACCGGCCACAUUGGGACUGAGGUACGGUCCAGACUCCUACGGGAGGCAGCAGUGGGGAAUAUUGCACAAUGGGCGGAAGCCUGAUGCGGCAACGCCGCGUGCGGGAUGACGGCCUUCGGGUUGUAAACCGCUUUCGCCUGUGACGAAGCGUGAGUGACGGUAAUGGGUAAAGAAGCACCGGCUAACUACGUG
rnacentral:rRNA from 1 species